UCCGCAGCCAAUUCGCCUCGUCCCACUCCCGCACCAGCCAUCACACAAACCCUAGCCUUGUUUUCCCUCGAUCCCCACAGCCUCCCGCUCCCCUCCUCCAUCCCCCUCCUUGCGUCACCACGGCCUCCGCUCUGGAGCCCCGCCGCCGCCUCUCCUCCACCACCUCCUCGCGUCGCCACGGCCUCCGCCCCGGAGUCCCACCGCCGCCUGCUAUUCCUCCUCCACCAUGCUAGCCCCUCUACCUCGUCUUCCUUCUCUUCGUUGUUGGUUCCAGAUCGAGCGCGGGUUAGGCGAGCCCGGUGGUGGGGUGAAGGGGCAGGGGAAGAGGAGGUGGGCAACUAGGUGAAGGAGCAGGUCGGCCCUCCUGGAGGCAGCGCCGCCGCCCAGCCAGGGAGGAGGCCAGACUCUCCUCUAGGCUCGCCUCUGUUUUGCCCUGAGCGGCGGCAGCGCCUAUGCCUCCACCCCACCUUCUUUUCCAUGCCUCUUCCAUGGCAUGGCAGGAAGAUUUUGGGGAUGGGGAGACCCCAUGAAUAAUAAUUCAAGUGGACGGACGAUGCGCCUUGUUGUUUAGCGGUAUGAUCUAUGAUGGUCGGCGAAAGUAUGUUCUAUAUUGCAAGGUGAUGGGCUGCUGAUUUUUGUAGCCCACUUCUGCUAAUUUCUAUCGACUUCUACUUAAUCUGAUAUCUGUUGUGUAAGUAAUGCACUAAUUCAGUUCAUGACACCAAGUUGGAGCUGUACAAAGUGCUGCUAAAUUAAGGUUCCUGGUUACAACACGCACAAUUUGGUGUCCUGAUAUCCUUUGUGUAUCCUCUUGAAGGAGCAUUGGGUGAGAUUGUUGUUGUGACAAGAAUUGGUACUAGGCUGGGUGAUACAACAAUGGAUUUCAUCCAAGGAAUAACCAAAUGGCGCAGAGACCCGCUAAAGACAUCUCCAGUUGUUGAAUCAACUAUUGUCCCAUGUUGUUUGGAUCAUCUAUCGUGCCGCACUGUCUAGCUGAAAUGGACAAAUGACUUAGGAACGACAUAUAAUCGAUUUUUGCUCUUUUUAUCCCUUGAAAGGUGAUAUGCAACAUUAUGAAUUUGCUUCCAUUUGCAGGGCUAGGUGUCCUCCCUCCUCUUGGUGACAUAUAAGAGGACCUGCACACUGAACCGGGAAGUCCUUUUUUAGGCAGUGGUCAUGGAGCAACAAUAUAUGCUGCGUGGCAUUGCAGGUUAUUUUCCGCCCCGGUCGAUCCAGGCACGGCAUCGGAUGGGAGAGAGCAGGGGAGGGCCAAGAGGCCAGCGGUGUGGGGUGGAGUAGCGAGGCCGAACACCGGGCAGCGGACGCCUCACAGGGUGGAGGAGAGGCCGGCGAUAGGGAAAAGCAACAUCUUCAUGGAUGAGAUCCUGACGGCUGAAGAUGGUGUGCACGGGAGGAGCUUGGAAGAUGUCAAGGGCGCCACGAGGAGUGGAGUAAGCUAAAUACCUGACUGGCUGGAUCAUUUUUGGGCUCUUUACAGAUUUGCCGACUUCAAAUGGGUAUCUCAUAGUUGAAGCAAAUGGUGGUCUGAAUCAACAGCGUCUUUCUGUAAGUUCUUGGACCACGUUAGAUACAGCAAGCAAGCAAUACAUUGCUAUUACCUAUACAAAAGUCCAGUGCCAUAUGAAUCCAUUGACACCACUAUGUAACUUGAAGUCAUGUACUAUCACUUUGAUUGAGACGGCUUUCAUCAAUAACUUUGUGCUGGAAAGGCAUUAGUACUAUCUUUGUACAUACAUAGUUGUAUUAUUCAUCGAAAGAUCACCGAUAUUUGCUUUCAUCUUUUUGGUCACAUGCCAUCAGAUCUUCUAUUGAGAGAUAUAUUUCUUCUGACCUGAGAGCUUGAGAAUUAGACUCUGGUCUCUACCAUUUGCUGUGAUGUUGAUGUCUCAUUUUGUAUAGUCCUUAGAACCUUCACACUAUGCCGAGUAAUAAUUAUUGACAGUGCAGUUCCAUUUUUUUCUCAAUAUAGAUCUGCGAUGCAGUUGUUGUGGCCAGCUUGCUUAAUGCAACUCUUGUGAUCCAAAUAUUUCAUUUGAAUAGCAUUUGGCGCGAUCCUAGCAAAUUUAGUGAUAGUUUUGAUGAAGAUCGUUUUAUCGGGACACUCAGACAACAUGUAAGAGUUGUGAAGGAACUCCCAAAAGAUGUUCUGCUGCAUUUCAAUCAUAAUAUAAGCAGCAUACAAAAUAUGCGAACUAAAGCCUACUCAUCCCCAGAUCAAUUAUUUGUUACACAUCGAGGUAGAUAACAAACAAUAGAAAUCAGGAAGUGUUGUUUGUUAUCUACUUCGAUAUCGUACUGAUUUCUAUUUUUUCACAAUUGCAGGCGCCAUAUUAGUGUUUCUUAUUAUCUACCUUGAUGCCAUACUAAUUUCUCUGAUUCCAAAAUUGCUGGCACCACUUCCUGGUGCCUGUUGGUGCAAGGACCCAUGCCUUCCAUCUGAGAAAUGUAAAGGAUGGAUCAAUUGACAUAGUCAGCUCAUGUUUAGUUCUUUGUCUCUCAGACGGCAUGCAUCUCUCAACACAAUCCUAGGUUAAUGAACUGCUAAAGCUACAAUGUAGAUGCAUUGUGACUUUAUUUUCUAGGUACUAACUUCAGAUGUCCAAUUUGUUACCUGUGCCAAUGUAUCCUCAGGAUAUUUACUUUAGAUAAACAAUCUGCUGCAUACUAAUGUAUAAUUUUACACAAGCUAUCCUCGAUGUUUGUUUCGCUUUGUCAUUCCCAACAUCACAUAGUAAUGCUUGCAGCUUCUUUGGGAAGGUGGAACUAAUACAUACAUUCAACUUACUCAAGUUCGAAAACUGCUCCUCUUGACCCGUUUCAGCUUUGUGGGUGAGUGAAUGCAUGAUGAUGGAAGCUUGGUGUUCUCAUAAUACAAGGGAAGGAGCUGCUGAGCUAACUCUCAUGUACUUCACAUGAGCUGAAAGAGGUUGGUAUGAUGCUGCGAGGCAUGGGGUUUGACAAUACAACCUUCCUCUAUCUUGCCUUCGGUAAAAUAUACAAUGCUACAAAAUACAUGGCUCCCCUUCGCCAGAUGUUCCCUCUUUUACAAACCAAGGACACUCUUGCAUUGUCUGAAGAGCUUGCUGAGUUUGAGGGGUACUCUUCUCAGUUAGUAGCACUAGAUUACACCGUCUGUGUUCAGAGCGAAGUGUUUGUGACAACUCAAGGGUGGAACUUCCCUCACUUUUUGAUGGGACACAGGUGUUACCUAUUAGGAGGGAAUGCAAAGGCAAUAAAACCCGACAAACGGAAGCUGGUCUUAUCUUUUGACGACCCAAAUAUUAGGUCAAUUUGAGCUGCCAUUAUAUCGUCAACAAAGAACCUAAUGAUUCCAUAUACACCUUCCCAAUGCAUGAUUGCAUGUGCCAACAAGAUGGAAUAUGAUCUAGGCGUUAGCAUACAUAAUUGAGCGAUGCAUAUCCUCUGCCUUUGUGCAACAAAGGCACCAAAGGCACGACAUUGUUGACUGCAUGAUCAGGAUUUGAUGGUCAUGAUGAAAACUGGAGUGAAAUAAAGCAUUUGGUGCUUCUCAGGAGAUUCUAAAACCCUCUGGCAUACCCCAAACCGUUCGAUUCUGGAUAUAAUGGUGAAAAGGUGCCUAAUGACAAUGAAUUCCAUAGGAUCAGAAAUUGAGAGGAUGUGAGGGAUUUUGUAAAGUUAGUAAUCUGUAGGUAGUCCACCAUAUAGCAAUCUCCAUUUGUUCAAUCUGUCUGUAGGUUGUUAAAGAAAAGAGCUACGAUAUUGGGUUGUAGAUAUGAGUACAACCUGAGUGCCUCAAUGUAUAUUAAAAAACAAGGGCUAACAACAACAAAGAAAGGAAUUUUUCAGUA